UACAGAGGUCUCAAGCGUUUGUUCGGAUUCAUUGGGCGUUAAAGGGUGCGUAGGCGGCGCGGUAAGUCGGGUGUGAAAUCUCGGAGCUUAACUCCGAAACUGCAUUCGAUACUGCCGUGCUUGGAGGACUGGGAGAGGAGACUGGAAUUUACGGUGUAGCGGUGAAAUGCGUAGAUAUCGUAAGGAAGACCAGUGGCGAAGGCGGGUCUCUGGACAGUUCCUGACGCUGAGGCACGAAGGUCAGGGGAGCAAACAGG
rnacentral:rRNA from 1 species